UUUCAUUUCUAGUGGGGAUAAACGAAGAGAGUGAGAAUAUUGGGGCUCAGAAUUUCGGAUUAUACGUACAUUCGCCGAAUCUCCCCACGUACACUUGCAGGGAGUGUUCAUGUGCGACGCUGGUUUUGUUUGCAUAAUCCAGCCUGUAAUUAGCCGGCGGUUGAUGACGUAACUACCCCCCUCCCAAACCACAUGGGGACGCCACCCGCCCGUCCGAAAACAGCAUGACAUUACACACCACGCCACGUGCCCAUUGUCUAGAAGACUCAGGGGCUUCAUAGUCCCCAAACCAUCCAGCAUUGUAUUGGGAGUCGCUUAGCGUGCACCCAACCGAGACCUCAUCCUCCCCAAGCAUUUAGUGGUAAGUUAGUUUCUGUCCUCAUACUCUAUUAGGGCUGACGACAGACAGAUAGGACACCCGUGGUUAGGGGAGUCGAGUUGCAAAGUAACCUUCACACUUCCCCAACAAUGAAAAGCGCCAUUGCUUGAAUGAAAUAACAUUCGACGCGAGCUUUUGGAGAGCUAUUUUGUUAAGUUUCUAUACAACCGUCCUCGCA